rnacentral:rRNA from 1 species
CCUACCAUGCAAGUCGAACGGAUUCAAGUCUGACACGGAGUGCUGAGUAGCGGCUAAUUGGCUGGAUAAUUAUUAGCAAUAGUAAUUAGCGAUUGGACGCUGCGGAGAAUAUGAGGCCGCUCUGCGGAGCGAAGCUUCAAAAAGCAAAUAUUUGGCGGCGUGUACGUCAAAUAUUUAUCCGCGCAUGUUUGCAGAGUGUGCGAGCGAAAGUGAGCGCGCGCGGCAAACAUGGAAAAGCUCGAUCAAAAACGAAGUAUUUGAUCGACCCAACACUGCGUGUUGGGCUUGAGUUAGUGGCGAACGGGUGAGUAACGCGUGAGCAACCUGUCCAAAAGAGGGGGAUAACUUUGGGAAACCAGAGCUAAUACCGCGUAAGACCACGCUCUCGCAUGGGAGUGAGGUAAAAGGAGCAAUCCACUUUUGGAGGGGCUCGCGUCCCAUUAGAUAGUUGGGGGGGUAACGGCCCACCAAGUCAACGAUGGGUAGCCGGGCUGAGAGGCUGAACGGCCACACUGGGACUGAGACACGGCCCAGACUCCUACGGGAGGCAGCAGUGGGAAUAUUGGGCAAUGGGGGAAACCCUGACCCAGCAACGCCGCGUGAGGGAAGAAGGUUUUUGGAUUGUAAACCUCUGUCCUUGGGGAAGAAAAAAAUGACGGUACCCAGGGAGGAAGCCCCCGGCUAACUACGUGCCAGCAGCCGCGGUAAUACGUAGGGGGCGAGCGUUGUCCGGAAUUACUGGGCGUAAAGGGAGCGCAGGCNGCCCUAUAAGUUAAUUGUGAAACCCCCNGGCUUAACCUGGGGGCAUGCAGUUAAAACUGUAGGACUUGAGUGCCGGGAGAGGAAAGCGGAAUUCCNUAGUGUANCNGGGGAAAUACCCUANAUAUUAAGGAGGAACCCCAGUGGCGAAGGCGGNCUUUCUGGGACCGUAACUGACCCNUAAGCCUCCAAAGCCNGGGGANCCAACNGGAUUAGANACCCUGGUANCCCCCCCUGUU